CUGCAAGUCGAACGGAUCCUUCGGGAUUAGUGGCGGACGGGUGAGUAACACGUGGGAACGUGCCCUUUGGUUCGGAACAACUCAGGGAAACUUGAGCUAAUACCGGAUAAGCCUUUCGAGGGAAAGAUUUAUCGCCAUUGGAGCGGCCCGCGUAGGAUUAGCUAGUUGGUGAGGUAAAAGCUCACCAAGGCGACGAUCCUUAGCUGGUCUGAGAGGAUGAUCAGCCACAUUGGGACUGAGACACGGCCCAAACUCCUACGGGAGGCAGCAGUGGGGAAUCUUGCGCAAUGGGCGAAAGCCUGACGCAGCCAUGCCGCGUGAAUGAUGAAGGUCUUAGGAUUGUAAAAUUCUUUCACCGGGGACGAUAAUGACGGUACCCGGAGAAGAAGCCCCGGCUAACUUCGUGCCAGCAGCCGCGGUAAUACGAAGGGGGCUAGCGUUGCUCGGAAUUACUGGGCGUAAAGGGAGCGUAGGCGGAUAGUUUAGUCAGAGGUGAAAGCCCAGGGCUCAACCUUGGAAUUGCCUUUGAUACUGGCUAUCUUGAGUACGGAAGAGGUAUGUGGAACUCCGAGUGUAGAGGUGAAAUUCGUAGAUAUUCGGAAGAACACCAGUGGCGAAGGCGACAUACUGGUCC
rnacentral:rRNA from 1 species